ACGGGACCGAUAAUACUAAAUGGAAAAAGGAAGAGAGAAGUACUAUAUUUAAUUUCCGGAAAGCAUGACAUAGCCAGCGCAGCAGUGUCUGUGUGUCACGGCGUGUAGAGGCACCUCGCCACACCAUACCACUCCUCUCCUCUAUUUAUGUUACUCUCGCCUUCGCGAUUCUCGCACCUUCCAAUUCCACGGCUUCCUCAACCUCGAUUCCCGCAUCCGAGGCCGUGCAGGUUCUCCUCUCUUUGCUCGCCGAUGACUCUUCCUCCGUCAGAGAGGCCUCCAUGUCCUCUCUCAAGAACAUUGCCGCACUGAAUCCUCUUCUCGUUCUUGAUUGCUGUGCCGUCGUGUCGCGUGGUGGACGUCGACGGUUCGGGACAUGGCUGGAGUUUUCCAAGUGAUGGCGUUCGGCGUUCGGCGUUCGGUCUCUUGACGCAAAAGACGUCGAUUCUGCUUUCAUGGCGAAGCUCGCUAAGAUUGCUACCGCUGAGCUGAUAUCCUCUAAGGAACUAAAUUCUGACUGGCAACGAGCAGCAACAAGCCUACUUGUUGCAAUAGGCUCACAUUUACCUGAUCUCAUGAUGGAAGAAAUUUUUCUUCAUUUAUCUGGGACAAAUUCAGCAGUACAGGCUAUGGUUCAAAUCCUUGCAGAAUUUGCUUCUACUGAUCCCAUGCAGUUCAUUCCACGUUGGAAAGGUGUACUUUCCCGAAUUUUGCCAAUUCUUGGAAAUGUACGAGAAAUGCAUCGCCCCAUUUUUGCAAAUGCAUUUAAGUGUUGGUGUCAAGCGUCUUGGCAAUAUAGUAUAGACUUUCCUUCGCAUUUUCCUCAAGAUGGUGAUGUCAUUGCAGGUCAUUUCUAAAUUCUGCUUUUGAGCUCUUGUUGAGAGUUUGGGCAGCUUCGAGAGACCUUAAGGUUCGUGUGGCAUCUGUAGAAGCACUGGGGUAGAUGGUAGGUCUCAUAACACCAGCACAGUUAAAGACUGCCCUACCAAGGCUUAUCCCUACAAUAUUGGACUUGUAUAAAAAAGAUCAAGAUAUCGCUUUUUUGGCUACAUGUAGUCUCCACAAUCUGCUAAAUGCCUCUUUGUUGUCCGAAAGUGGUCCUCCUAUGCUUGAUUUUGAGGAUUUGACUAUUGUUUUAUCAACACUUCUGCCUGUGAUAUCUACGAAUAAUGACGGCAAAGACCAAUCAGAUUUCUCUAUGGGACUAAAGAAUACUUAGGAACAACUGCAGAACCUCAACACUGCCUAUCGAUUGACUGGGAAGAAUUAUUUGAAAUGGGCCCAGCUUGUUCACAAAACUUUGAAAGGUAAAGGAAAAGCUAACCACUUGACUGAUGAUGCUCCUAAAGAAGAUCCCAGAUUUACAAAAUGGGAUGAAGAGGACUCUAUGAUCAUGGCAUGGCUAUGGAACUCCAUGGUCCCAGAAAUCACUGAUACUUGCAUGUUUCUUAAUUCUGCAAAGGAGAUCUGGAAUGCCAUGGAACAGACAUACUCCAAAGCUAAAGAUGCUACUCAAAUAUAUGAUGUGAAGGUGAAGACUGUUGCUUCCAAAGAGGGAAACAAGACUGUUACAGAGUAUGCCAAUCAACUCAAAUCACUAUGGGUGGAAUUAGACCAUUACAGGGUCAUAAAAGCAAAAUGCCUAGAUGAUUCAGCAAUGCUCAAAGAGUAUAUUGAGCAAGAUCGAGCCUAUGAUUUCCUGGUGGGGCUUAAUUCUGAUUUUGAUCAAGUGAGAGUCCAAAUCCUUGGAAAAGAAAAAAUUCCAGGAAUUAAUGAAAUAAUAACUAUGGUCAGAAGUGAAGAAAGCAGAAGGGGAAUAAUGGUAGAAACCCCAACCAUGGAAAAUUCAGCCAUGGUAGCUUCUGGAUUAGCCAUGAUGGUCGACCAAAAAAAGGGGGAAUAGCCAAUAUGGAGAAGAAAGGUGAAGGAGUAUGGUGUACCUUUUGUAGCAAGCCUCGCCACACUCGUGAUAUAUGUUGGAAGCUGCACGGAAAGCCACCUAGUAGAGAUUGGGGAUCCUAAAUUCGUGACAAGGAGUGGGGAAAAAAAGGAGACAACACUAGAAAGGGAGGACAAGCACACAUAGGGGCUGCAACAAAUGAAGAAAACAGGUGAUUCACCUUAACUAGGAUGAAGUAGAGCAGAUGAGAUCAUUCCUCAACAAGUUGGAUAAGUCUCCAGGUAGUUGUUCUCUGGCACAUUUAGGUAUGUUUGGUAAGUUUCCUUCUUUUGGACUUAAUGCCUCAAAUAAAAACUAUAACCUAUAUUGGAUACUAGAUUCUGGGGCUACCGACCAGAUGACACCCCAACCUAAACAUUUCUCUUCUUACACCCCUUGCCCUAGCAACAAGAAAAUAUCCAUAGCUGAUGGCUCUCUGAUGACUGCAGUGGGUCAAGGAGAAGUUCAAAUAAGCCUAUCCAUAACCCUUAAAAAUGUCCUUCAUAUUCCUAUAUUUUUUGUUAGUUUGAUUUCCAUAAAAAAGCUCAUACAAGAUCUCUCAUGUAAUGUUAUCUUUUAUGACAAUGUUUGUAUUCUACAGAACAAUUACUCGGGGAGGACGAUUGGACAUGCUAGAUAAUAGAAUGGCUUGUAUUACUUGGACCAUCCAAAUCUGUCCUCAGACCCUAAAAGUAACACCUCUUUUUUCUCUGAUUCAACAAAGACCAACAGGGAGAAGGUCUUUCUACAUCACUGUCGCCUUGGACAUCCUUCCUUUAGGGUCAUAAAAAUGUUAUUCCCUUCCCUUUUUAGCAAAUUAGAUGUGGCAAGUCUCAAUUGUGAAGUGUGUGAACUUGCUAAGCACAAACGUGUUCCUUUUCCAGUUAGUAAUAAUAUGAGCAUUUUUCCCUUCUAUUUAAUUCAUACUAAUGUGUGGGGUCCCUCAACUGUUCCAAAUGUUUUUGGUGCCCAUUGGUUUCUUACCUUUAUAGAUGAUUGUUCUCGUGUCACAUGAGUUUUCUUACUAAAACAAAAACCCAAAGUCAGCCAUGUGGUUUAGUGUUUUUUCUCCAUGAUAAAAAAUCAGUUUGGUAUUAGCAUAAGAUGAUUAGAUCCGAUAAUGCUAAAGAUAACUUUAAUAAUUGGCUUAUUUCCUUUUUUCAAAGAGAAGGUAUCAUUCAUGAGUCAUCAUCUGUUAAAACACCUCAACAAAAUGGGAUUGCUAAGAGGAAAAAUGGGCACCUUCUAGACCAAACUCGGGCUCUUCUUUUUCAACAUAAGGUUCCUAAAAGGUUUUGGGGGGAGACUGUUCUCACUACAUGUUAUCUAAUUAAUAGACUACCUUCUAGUAUUCUAGCUUCCAAAAGCCCUAUAGUGGUUUUGUCCUCUUUUUAUCCUAAUGUGUCCACUUCCAACCACCUUGUUCCAAGAAUAUUUGGGUGUGUCUCUUUUGUUCAUGUCCACAGUGAUGAUAGAGGUAAACUUGAUCCUAGAGCCUUAAAAUGUGUUUUCAUAGGAUACUCAUCAACACAAAAGGGAUAUAAAUGCUAUCACCCCCCAUCCCAAAAAUUUUGUGUCAAGAGAUGUCACUUUUUUUGAACACCAAAGUUACUUCAACCAAGCUCAUCUUUAGGGGGAGAUUGUAAGAAAUGAAGAUGAACACCUUAUGCUCCCUAACUUAUGUUUCGGAUCAAAAAUAGAGACUAAAAGUGUAACAUCAGAGAAGGAACCCACGAAAUCCACUCAAGAUGGGGUUGAUGUAAGAUUUGGGAAAAAAUUGGUUUAUACAAGGAAGACAAAGGCCAUUCUAGAAUCUGUCCAUGUCCAACAAUCCAACCCAACAUUACUUGAGGUAACUACCCCUAAUCCUUUAAUAUGCACUGAAUCCAUUUCUGAUUUUCCAAAUGUACAAGAACUUGAAUCCAGUUCAACACCACUUUAUGAGAACCUAGAUAUUCCAAUUGCCCCUAGGAAAGAGACUAGGAAAUGGACCACCAAGCCACUAUACCCUCUAGCCAAUUACCUAUCCUUUAAAAACUUCUCACCUACCCAUAAAGCCUUCCUCACAAGCCUAAACACUAUAACCACACCUACCACUUUAUCUGAGGCAUUGAGUAAUGAAAAAUGGAAACAAUCCUUGGAUGCCGAAAUGGAAGCAUUAGAGAAGAAUAGUACUUGGGAUUUGGUUGCUAUCCCAAAUGGGAAAAAACCAGUAGGAUGCAAGUGGGUAUAUACUAUAAAAUACAAGGCUGAUGGAUCCAUUGAGAGGUACAAAGCAAGGUUAGUAGCUAAAGGAUUCACUCAAAUCUAUGGAGUGGAUUACAUGGAAACAUUUGCUCCAGUUGCAAAAAGAAUACAAUUAGGAUGAUAUUAUCCCUAGCAGCUAAUUAUGGUUGGAACCUGCAACAUUUUGAUGUUAAAAAUGCCUUCCUUCAUGGAGAAAUUGAAAAGGAGAUUUACAUGGAAUUGCUCCCUGGAUAUGGUGGAAAAACAAUCGCCAACACUAUUUCCAAGCUAAAAAAGGCAUUGUAUGGGCUGAAACAAUCACCACGAGCGUGGUUUGGAAGGGUCUGGAAGCAUAUACAGAUGCAGACUAUGCAGGGUCAAUUGUGGAUAGGAGGUCAACUACGGGAUAUUGCACUUUCCUUGGAGGGAAUCUUGUGACUUGGAAGAGUAAAAAAAAGAAUGUGGUAGCCAGAUCCAGUGCUGAAGCAUAGUUUAGGGCAAUGGCACAAGGGAUAUGUGAACUACUCUAGCUGAAGAUCAUCUUGGAAGACUUAAGGAUAAAAUUGGAUGAACCAAUGAAACUUUAUUGUGAUAACAAAUGUGCUAUUAGCAUAGCUCAUAAUCCAGUGCAGCAUGAUAGAACCAAACAUAUUGAGGUUGAUAGACAUUUUAUCAAAGAAAAAUUAGACAGUGGUCUGAUCUGCACUCCAUAUGUCUCCUCACAAGAAAACCUUACAGACAUUCUAACGAAGGGGAACAACAACUUUGAGAGUAUUGUUUCUAAGCUGGGAAUGGAAAAUAACCAGCUUGAGGGGGAGUGUUAGAAUCUGUUUUAUUAUUUGUAUUAUUUCUGUCAGGAUUUGUGUUUUAUUAUUUCCUUAUAUAGCAGAUUAUAAUUGCAGUGUAUGAUGGUAUCCCUGAAUCAUAGGGAUUUGAUUGUCUAGGUGCUAUUAUUAUACUUGUUAAAAUAGGAUUCUAGCCUUCUAUAUAGGAAUUGUAUUCUCAGAAUAAUAUACUGAACAACUCUACCCUAAAUUAUGAGAGUUUUAUUGAUUUUCUUUUAGAUA